rnacentral:rRNA from 1 species
CAGUAGCCGCGGUAAUACGAAGGGUGCAAGCGUUAAUCGGAAUUACUGGGCGUAAAGCGUGCGUAGGCGGUUUGUUAAGUCUGCUGUGAAAUCCCCGGGCUCAACCUGGGAAUGGCAGUGGAUACUGGCAAGCUAGAGUGUGUCAGAGGAUGGUGGAAUUCCCGGUGUAGCGGUGAAAUGCGUAGAGAUCGGGAGGAACAUCAGUGGCGAAGGCGGCCAUCUGGGACAACACUGACGCUGAGGCACGAAAGCGUGGGGAGCAAACAGGAUUAGAUACCCGCGUAGUCCCUGUCUCUUAUAC